UAAUACGGGGGGAGCAAGCGUUGUUCGGAUUUACUGGGCGUAAAGGGCGCGUAGGCGGCCAGCACAAGUCAGUUGUGAAAUCUCCGAGCUUAACUCGGAAAGGUCAACUGAUACUGUGCGGCUAGAGUGCGGAAGGGGCAACUGGAAUUCUUGGUGUAGCGGUGAAAUGCGUAGAUAUCAAGAGGAACACCUGCGGCGAAGGCGGGUUGCUGGGCCGACACUGACGCUGAGGCGCGAAAGCUAGGGGAGCGAACGGGAUUAGAUACCCCGGUAGUCCUAGCCUUAAACGAUGAAUGCUUGGUGUCUGGGGUUAUAAAGUCCCCGGGUGCCGCAGCUAACGCGUUAAGCAUCCCGCCUGGGGAGUACGGUCGCAAGACUG
rnacentral:rRNA from 1 species